AACGAACGCUGGCGGCAUGCCUAACACAUGCAAGUCGAACGAGACCUUCGGGUCUAGUGGCCCACGGGUGCGUAACGCGUGGGAACCUGCCUUUAGGUUCGGAAUAACUCAGAGAAAUUUGAGCUAAUACCGGAUAAUGUCUUCGGACCAAAGAUUUAUCGCCUUUAGAUGGGCCCGCGUUGGAUUAGCUAGUUGGUGGGGUAAAGGCCUACCAAGGCGACGGUCCAUAGCUGGUCUGAGAGGAUGAUCAGCCACACUGGGACUGAGAUACGGCCCAGACUCCUACGGGAGGCAGCAGUGGGGAAUAUUGGACAAUGGGCGAAAGCCUGAUCCAGCAAUGCCGCGUGAGUGAUGAAGGCCUUAGGGUUGUAAAGCUCUUUUACCAGGGAUGAUAAUGACAGUACCUGGAGAAUAAGCUCCGGCUAACUCCGUGCCAGCCGCCGCAGUAACAC
rnacentral:rRNA from 1 species